rnacentral:rRNA from 1 species
UACGGAGGGUGCAAGCGUUAAUCGGAAUUACUGGGCGUAAAGCGCACGCAGGUGGCUGAGUCAGUCGAUUGUGAAAGCCCCCGGCUCAACUGGGGAGGGUCACUCGAUACUGAUCGACUCGAAGGCAGAAGAGGGAAGCGGAAUUCCCGGUGUAGUGGUGAAAUGCGUAGAUAUCGGGAGGAACACCAGUGGCGAAGGCGGCUCACUGGCCCGGUACUGACGCUGAGGUGCGAAAGCGUGGGGAGCAACAGG